UACGAAGGGGGCUAGCGUUGCUCGGAAUCACUGGGCGUAAAGCGCACGUAGGCGGCUUUUUAAGUCAGGGGUGAAAUCCUGGAGCUCAACUCCAGAACUGCCUUUGAUACUGAGAAGCUUGAGUCCGGGAGAGGUGAGUGGAACUGUGAGUGUAGAGGUGAAAUUCGUAGAUAUUCGCAAGAACACCAGUGGCGAAGGCGGCUCACUGGCCCGGUACUGACGCUGAGGUGCGAAAGCGUGGGGAGCAACAGG
rnacentral:rRNA from 1 species